rnacentral:lncRNA from 1 species
UCUAUUUGAAAGCUCAAGGAAGGAAGCCAGCUCUCUGCAAAGGAUGGGCUUGAUCCAGCAACGAGCACAUCCCUGUGAAGGUGAGAGAACAUGAGUGUUGGGGAUCCUCUGCCUCUGAGACCACCUUUGCGUGAACAAGAACUGGAGCUUUCCUGCAAACAAAGAAUCACAGUGUCCAAGCUGUUGGUCCCACUGCAUAAAGGAAGACGCUAGCUCAGUGUGUUAAGACCAUGCAGAACAUUUAUAGUAUGGAAUAAAAAAGUAAAGGUGAAAUGUGCA